rnacentral:rRNA from 1 species
AUGGAUAGUAGUCUCCGUAUUAUUUUCUGGAACACGCGCGACCUCAACUGCCUGGCGAAGCGCUGCGCCGUCCGCUCAGUCAUCUGUACCGCUCGCCCCUUUAUGGUCUGUUUGCAAGAAACUAAGCUCACUGAUGUUUCCCCCUACUUGGUUGCCGACUCCCUUGGGCACGAUUUCACCAGCUUCUACCACCUUCCCGCCGACGGCACGCGUGGUGGCAUCAUCCUCGCAUGGCGCCCUUCCGAGAUCUCCCUUACCAACCCCUUCGUCGGGGCCCAUUUUGUCGCGGCCUGUGCCACCACUCCAGGCUCCGACUCCCACUGGUGGAUCACGGGCGUCUACGGCCCCCAAGACGAGGCGGGCAAAGCCUCCCUCCUCGCUGACCUCUCCGACUUCCGCGCCACACGGAUUGGCCCCUGGAUCAUCGGCGGCGAUUUUAACAUGAUUGCGUCUGCGGCCGAUAAGAACAAUGACAGGCUCAACCAGCGCUCCAUGCGCCAUUUUCACCGCUUCAUGGCCGACACUGAGAUUCGCGACCUGUACCUCCACGGCAGGCGCUACACCUGGUCUAGCGAGCGCGACCCCCCCACGCUCGUGCGCAUCGACUGA